ensembl:lncRNA
AGAUUUCAUGUCUGAGUUGGGUCUUAAAAAAGAUGAACCUGUGCAGGAUUCUUGGGACUCUGAGUCUGACUUGGAUGAUAUCAAUUUACUUAAUGAAAAGAAAGAAAAUAAAACUGUAAAUCAAGAGGAAGUGCCCACAGUCAAAGAGGACAAGGAAGAAAUUAACAGCAGUGAAGUAACUCAUGAUCAAGACCAAGAUGCUCAAAGUGAAAGUUUACAGAAAGAGACCGAAAAGGCAAAAUGGGAACCACUUCUGAACAAACUCGAAGGCGCUUCAGACCAAAAGACAGACUUAAUGGAAGAACUGGGAUUAGGAGAUGCAGAUGAUCUUGCAGAUGCCUCAGACUGGGACUCGGCUAGCACCACCAGUAAACAGACUCUUCCCGGGGGGCGCAGGAUGCCUUCUCCUGGGAUCGAGGAGUUCCCAGAAUCCCCUGAACCUCCAAAGACAGUGGAGGUCUCUAAAGCUGCUCUAGUCACUCCUCAGAGAAGCUUCAACUCCAAAUCAGCAAGUACUGCCUCUGCAUCGGCUCCCAACCCACAGCCACGAGCCAGGAAGAUGACCCCUCGCAAAUCUGAGAGCCAAGAAGAAUCAGACUGGGACUCUGAUCGGCAAAGUGAAAAUCACAUGAUGGAGGCAGUUUAUCAGCAGGCUUUAGAUCAACCAGACUCCCCAGAGCCAAAGGCAGCAAUGACAACUGAGUGUCCUGAAGAGACUGAUGAGGUGGAGCCUGUGGCACGCAAAAACAUCACCACAGAGACAGUGGAGGAGCAGCAUCUGUCCACAUUACAAGAACAAAGUGGAAAUCCAACUGAAAAUGUGGGAUCUGGGAAACUUGAACCUGGAAGAGGAUUCAGGGAAGAGUUGACAAUACAGACACCUCCACAAGAACAGAAGCCAGUGGCCAGUAAACGCACCAACGGAGCCCCAGCCCUCUCUUCCCUGCAGCAGAUGCAACGCGGCAGCAGACAGGACCUUCAGGCCGCUCAGGAGCCCAGACCACAGGGUCUUAGACAUGUUAAUGGAAACCCUCUCUCUGUGUUUGACGAUAGCUCUUUAAGUGAUGUGUCCGAGGAUGAAGGAAG